rnacentral:rRNA from 1 species
AUACGUAGGGGGCAAGCGUUGUCCGGAAUUACUGGGCGUAAAGGGAGCGUAGGCGGUCUUUUAAGUUAGAUGUGAAAUACCCGGGCUCAACUUGGGAGGUGCAUCUAAAACUGGAGGACUUGAGUGCAGGAGAGGAAAGUGGAAUUCCUAGUGUAGCGGUGAAAUGCGUAGAUAUUAGGAGGAACACCAGUGGCGAAGGCGACUUUCUGGACUGUAACUGACGCUGAGGCUCGAAAGCGUGGGGAGCAAACAGGAUUAGAUACCCUGGUAGUCCACGCUGUAAACGAUGAAUACUAGGUGUAGGGGGUAUCAACUCCCCCUGUGCCGCAGCUAACGCAAUAAGUAUUCCGCCUGGGGAGUACGGCCGCAAGGUUGAA